AGUGAACGCUGGCGGUAGGCCUAACACAUGCAAGUCGAGCGGCAGCACAGGAAGAGCUUGCUCUUACGGGUGUCGAGUGGCGGACGGGUGAGUAAUACAUCGGAAUCUACUUUUUCGUGGGGGAUAACGUAGGGAAACUUACGCUAAUACCGCAUACGACCUACGGGUGAAAGCAGGGGAUCUUCGGACCUUGCGCGAGUGAAUGAGCCGAUGUUGGAUUAGCUAGUUGGCGGGGUAAAGGCCUACGAAGGCGACGAUCCGUAGCUGGUCUGAGAGGAUGGUCAGCUACACUGGAACUGAGACACGGCCCAGACUCCUACGGGAGGCAGCAGUGGGGAAUAUUGGACGAUGCGGGCAAGCCUGAUCCAGCCAUACCGCGUGGGUGAAGAAGGCCUUCGGGUUGUAAAGUCCUUUUGUUGGGAAAGAAAAAAAGCAGGUUAAUACCCCGCUGUUCUGACGGUACCAAAAGAAUAAGCACCGGCUAACUUCGUG
rnacentral:rRNA from 1 species